rnacentral:rRNA from 1 species
AUUGAACGCUGGCGGCAUGCUUUACACAUGCAAGUCGAACGGCAGCGCGGGCUUCGGCCUGGCGGCGAGUGGCGAACGGGUGAGUAAUGCAUCGGAACGUGCCCAGCUGUGGGGGAUAGCCCGGCGAAAGCCGGAUUAAUACCGCAUACGACCUGAGGGUGAAAGCGGGGGACCGAAAGGCCUCGCGCUAUUGGAGCGGCCGAUGUCGGAUUAGCUAGUUGGUGGGGUAAAGGCUUACCAAGGCGACGAUCCGUAGCUGGUCUGAGAGGACGACCAGCCACACUGGGACUGAGACACGGCCCAGACUCCUACGGGAGGCAGCAGUGGGGAAUUUUGGACAAUGGGGGCAACCCUGAUCCAGCCAUGCCGCGUGCGGGAAGAAGGCCUUCGGGUUGUAAACCGCUUUUGUUCGGGAAGAAAACCUCUGGGCUAAUACCCCGGGGGGAUGACGGUACCGGAAGAAUAAGCACCGGCUAACUACGUG